rnacentral:rRNA from 1 species
UACGAAGGGGGCUAGCGUUGUUCGGAAUUACUGGGCGUAAAGCGCACGUAGGCGGAUAUUUAAGUCAGGGGUGAAAUCCCAGAGCUCAACUCUGGAACUGCCUUUGAUACUGGGUAUCUCGAGUAUGGAAGAGGUGAGUGGAAUUCCGAGUGUAGAGGUGAAAUUCGUAGAUAUUCGGAGGAACACCAGUGGCGAAGGCGGCUCACUGGGCCAUUACUGACGCUGAGGUGCCAAAGCGUGGGGAGCAAACAGG